GCGAAUGAAUUGUUCCUAGCCAUCGCUUGCAUAAGCAAUCCUGUGACCAUAUCGAUGAGCAAUAAUGCAAUAGUUAGCAAUAGUUAGAUAUUUAAGUUAUGGAAUCUCUCGUGGUUUAAAAUAAAUAGAUACCUUUUUAAAUAAUAAAAAUAUGUAAACAUUGAGAGCAACAGUUACUCUGGAUUUUGUGGGUACCUAUGAAACAUCGAAUGCUCAUUAAGUUGCCUUACACUUAGGCAAAUGAUUGUGUCCUAUUAUUAUUAAGAAAAUUAUGGUGAUCAUAAUAAAUAAAUAAAUACGUAUGUAAUUUAGCAAA